GACGAACGCUGGCGGCGUGCUUAACACAUGCCAGUCGAACGAAGAGCGAUGGAAGCUUGCUUCUAUCAAUCUUAGUGGCGAACGGGUGAGUAACGCGUAAUCAACCUGCCCUUCAGAGGGGGACAACAGUUGGAAACGACUGCUAAUACCGCAUACGAUCUAACCUCGGCAUCGAGGAAAGAUGAAAGGUGGCCUCUAUGUAUAAGCUAUCACUGAAGGAGGGGAUUGCGUCUGAUUAGCUAGUUGGAGGGGUAACGGCCCACCAAGGCGAUGAUCAGUAGCCGGUCUGAGAGGAUGAACGGCCACAUUGGGACUGAGACACGGCCCAGACUCCUACGGGAGGCAGCAGUGGGGAAUCUUCCGCAAUGGACGAAAGUCUGACGGAGCAACGCCGCGUGAGUGAUGACGGCCUUCGGGUUGUAAAGCUCUGUUAAUCGGGACGAAAGGCCUUCUUGCGAAUAGUGAGAAGGAUUGACGGUACCGGAAGAGAAAGCCACGGCUAACUACGUG
rnacentral:rRNA from 1 species